rnacentral:rRNA from 1 species
GGAACGUGCCUUUCACUACGGAAUAGUCCCGGGAAACUGGGUUUAAUACCGUAUACGCCCUUCGGGGGAAAGAAUUUCGGUGAGAGAUCGGCCCGCGUCUGAUUAGGUAGUUGGUGGGGUAAUGGCCUACCAAGCCGACGAUCAGUAGCUGGUUUGAGAGGAUGAUCAGCCACACUGGGACUGAGACACGGCCCAGACUCCUACGGGAGGCAGCAGUGAGGAAUCUUGGACAAUGGGGGCAACCCUGAUCCAGCCAUGCCGUGUGAACGAUGAAGGCCUUAGGGUUGUAAAGUUCUUUCAACGGUGAAGAUAAUGACGGUAGCCGUAGAAGAAACCCCGGCUAACUCCGUGCCAGCAGCCGCGGUAAUACGGAGGGGGUUAGCGUUGUUCGGAAUUACUGGGCGUAAAGCGCACGUAGGCGGACUAUUAAGUCAGGGGUGAAAUCCCGGGGCUCAACCCCGGAACUGCCUUUGAUACUGGUAGUCUAGAGUUCGAGAGAGGUGAGUGGAAUUCCGAGUGUAGAGGUGAAAUUCGUAGAUAUUCGGAGGAA